GCCGAUAAUCGUCCGGCGAGUGGGCUGGUCAUGGCUUGAUCGUUGGUUUUGAAUGCAAUGUAGUCUAGUCCUUGGUUUCCUGCUCUUUUUACUACUGCAAAGUUUUGUGGUACUAUGAUCAUUUGGCCUUCUCUGACCUCGUCGUUGAAUACGGAGUUUCCGGUGUCGCCGACUACCUGAAUCCGGCCACUUCCUCGGAGAAUGUAGAGGAUGCUGUGUGCGUUCAUGUUCCAGUAUGGUGCCAUUACUGCAUUCUGCAAAACUCAAAUGUUGUACGACUUUUUAAGUUAAGUACGAAUCAAUAUAAGAGCCUAAAAUUCCAUAAUGUAAAUUAAGCUCGUUUUUGUGACAAUCUACUAAACAAAUAUGUUCCUGAUUUUGCAAAUAGAUUGCUCUUGCCAACAAAAUGCAUUAAUUUCGACAAGAGUUGGGCCUAACCAGAGAAAAUGUUUUGAAAUAAUUAUCCCGCCAAGCAAGUUCGGUGCAUAAAACGAUCCCGUUUUCACGGGAUUUGAGUUAGCUGGCGGCUAAUGACACGGGAUCUGAGUUAGCUGGCGGCUAAUGACUGCUUAGACGGAUCGACCCGUAACCUAACCUAUAAAACACGCGAAUAUAAUUUACCAUUACUUCGAGUUUACCCUUCCACUCCCCCACUAAGCAAGCGUUAUACUUAAUUGGAGUCAAUAAGGAAAAUUUUCUGUAGCAUUUUAACUUUUUAUGCACUUCCUUUAUCAACAUUGUUUUUUGGUUGCUAUAAUUGAUAUGAAAAAAAUGAUAUUCCAGUAUUUUUCACAGAAUAUUUCUGAUUUCUGAAAAUUAGCCAAAUCAACCCUCAAAAAAGCUAAAAAUGUCAAACAAAUUAAUAGAAGUAGUUCUAUGUUUUACUUAGAAAACUUAAAUUAAUAUGUAAUAUUUUACUUGCCUGGUAAAGGACUCCUCUUUCAGCACUGAGCUGAAGCCAGUUGAGAAUUGGAAGUUUAUGGCUGUUAAGGCUGCUUAUGCGUCCGCCACGUGGAUUGUACACGUCAGCACGAGAUGGUUGGCCCAAGUUCUCUUUAAGCCUCAUAGUACAAAUAGUUUCCUCA
rnacentral:lncRNA from 1 species